CUACGGGUUGCUCCAGUGAGGAAUAUUGCACAAUGGGGGGAACCCUGAUGCAGCAACGCCGCGUGGAGGAUGACGCAUUUCGGUGUGUAAACUCCUUUUAUAUGUCAAGAAAAUGACGGUAGCAUAUGCAUAAGCACCGGCUAACUCCGUGCCAGCAGCCGCGGUAAUACGGAGGGUGCAAGCGUUACUCGGAAUCACUGGGCGUAAAGGACGCGUAGGCGGGUUGGAAAGUCAGGUGUGAAAUCCUACAGCUUAACUGUAGAACUGCACUUGAAACUUCUAAUCUAGAGUAUGGGAGGGGGAGAUGGAAUUAGUGGUGUAGGGGUAAAAUCCGUAGAUAUCACGAGGAAUACCUAAAGCGGAGGCGAUCUCCUGGAACAUUACUGACGCUAAGGCGUGAAAGCGUGGGGAGCAAACAGGAUUAGAUACCCUCGUAGUC
rnacentral:rRNA from 1 species